rnacentral:rRNA from 1 species
UGGGGAAUAUUGGACAAUGGGCGCAAGCCUGAUCCAGCAAUGCCGCGUGUGUGAAGAAGGCCUUCGGGUUGUAAAGCACUUUUAUCAGGAGCGAAACGCUGUCGGCUAAUACCCGGCGGAACUGACGGUACCUGAGGAAUAAGCACCGGCUAACUUCGUGCCAGCAGCCGCGGUAAUACGAAGGGUGCAAGCGUUAAUCGGAAUUACUGGGCGUAAAGCGUGCGUAGGCGGUUUCUUAAGUCUGCUGUGAAAUCCCCGGGCUCAACCUGGGAAUGGCGGUGGAUACUGGGAGGCUAGAGUGUGUCAGAGGGUGGUGGAAUUCCCGGUGUAGCGGUGAAAUGCGUAGAGAUCGGGAGGAACAUCAGUGGCGAAGGCGGCCACCUGGGACAACACUGACGCUGAGGCACGAAAGCGUGGGGAGCAAACAGGAUUAGAUACCCUGGUAGUCCACGCCCUAAACGAUGCGAACUGGAUGUUGGUCUCAACUCGGAGAUCAGUGUCGAAGCUAACGCGUUAAGUUCGCCGCCUGGGGAGUACGGUCGCAAGACUGAAACUCAAAGG